CAUCUGAACCCACUCUCCUCCUUGCGUUUCUUGUUCUUCAAUAAUACAAAUACUUUGUGUAUUCUUUUGAAACAAAGAAUAAAACAAGUAAAUGUAACAUUCCAAUUGGCAUGGCUAGCUUACAUCUAAAUUACGAAGUAUUUUUUAGGGAUUUUAUGCAUCAUACCGCUAUAAUAUUGGGUUUUUUGGAAGUUACAUGUUUUACUCUGCUUUCUUGCACCCAAAAAAUGACAAUCCCACCUUGUGUGAUUGACGAGUCAUCGUUCGAGCGGUGGAGGAGAUCGAUCAAGCCUACGACGAAGGUAAUGCUGAUUUUGCUUAAUUGUGAUUGGGCAUUCUUUUUGUCAUUUUUUCUAUUGAUUUGAGGUAAUGUGGCAGGAAAUUAGAUGCGUGUGUAUGAAUUAAAAUGCUAUUUUGGGAGGAAUUGAAUCCGACGACUAGUUUCCAAUUCCAAGUGACUUAAAAGCUUAGACAUGAAGCUUCGACGUACAAAUUCUAUUGUUCUUAGCUUUAUUUCUAAUCUUAUUUAAGUAAUUCGAAGUCCAUAACAAGAUCGGAAGGUUCUACCUUUAGACCAGGCAUGAAGGUAUAAUCUAAGAGAUUGUUAUAUACACCUGGGUGCAAGGUACACCCAAGAGCAUUUUGUUCUCAUUUUUCGUUAAUUUUUUGCAAAUUUUAAGCUCAAACCGGAUCCAAAGGGAAAAAAUGACCCCCCCUAAACCUCUAAAAAACAUGUUAUUAACGGAUUUGGUGGUGAAAUCUAAAUUUUUCGUCUUUUUUGGGUGGUAUUUUAAAAUAAUUGUUUUUGGGAUGAUAUUAUCAAUAAGUGGGUUAUUUGUGGGUGGUAAAAUACAAAAUUUCUAUAUAAUUAUUAGAAUCUUUAGAAUUUCAAUUUAAUAAAAAGUAAUUUUAACUCAACAAAAGUAAGAUGAAGGGAAAAUGAUCUCAAGUAUAAAUAUUUAUUCUACCCAGGCCAGCAAACAAUGGGGCAAGCAUCAGUUAAGGGCUCUUUUUCCCCGAUAACGUCACAAGCCAAAUUAUGGGCAUUUUGCUACCGGGAAACCCCAUGUUAGACACUCUGGUAUGGGACCUCACUACGUUUGGAAUAUUUCACUUAAGUCAACUAUUUGAGCACUUAAACUCAGUCUCGAAGAUAGUAAGUGGCCUUAACAUUGGAUCUGGAAAAUAGAUAUCCCUUCAAUUUUCCAAAUUUUUUAUGGAAAGAUUUUCAUACCAGCUUAGGAGUUAGAGAUACACUUUACAAAAGAAACAUUGUCUCUUUAAAUACUACUAGCCCCCUUUGUAAUCAUCAAAAUGAAACAAUUGAUCAACUCUUCCUAAAUUGUAUAAGAAUUAGAGAAAUUUUGAACCACUUAUACUAAGAAAUUGUUAAAUUGUACAACGUCUUUAUUAAAUUUAACCAAAACAUUGAUAUUAAUAUACCUAUUAAGAAAACACCCAAACAUUUUAAGGAAAUUUAUUCUUCUAAUUUGGAGUAUAUGGAAAUAGUACGUAGAAUGCUAUUCUAUUUUGCAAUGAGACCUUUAACAUGUUUAGGAUUAACAGAUUUUUCACCAUAUACCAUUGAGUUAAUGCAUAAUUCACCAUAUACCACACAAAACUUUCUAAUACACCAAAUACCACUGAGUUAAUGUAGAUUAACACAAAAUGCCUUUUUUUGGUAACUGUCGUUAGUCUGUCGUUAACGCCGUUAGUAAUUAAGGUUAAUUGUGACACGUGGCUGUCACUUAUUGGCUCUUAUUAAUAAUAAUUAACUAAUUACUUAAAUAAAGGAUUAAAAAACUUAAAAAAAAAAACCCACCACCCAUAUCCACCGCCCUCCCA